CCGUCGAUAGCUCAGUUGGCAGAGCGGUGGACUGUAGACGAAUAAAAUCCGAAAUCCAUAGGUCGCUGGUUCGACUCCGGCUCGACGGA
rnacentral:tRNA from 13 species